rnacentral:other from 16 species
GUUGACCUCACAGCAAUUAACUAGUUUUAAAGAAACCCCCUUGUCAACUG